rnacentral:misc_RNA from 1 species
AGCACGUUUUGCUGUAUGCUUAUGUCGUUUUCGAUCUCUUCACAUCUCCGCACGCGCGCACAGCCCACAUGCGCAGCGGUCGCGCGCGCGCGCCAGCAUAUCACUCCCUGGCAGCUGCUGCGGGUGGGCUCUCCGGAUGAGGAGAGACUAGCGGCACGCAGGCAGCACCUCUCUCGUUUUUUUUUUGAUUUGCUGCCAGGCUCCCCUAAUCGCUACUGGCGGAUGGUGCGGCACAGACAGACGCCAAAUCAGCAGCACCCGCGAUGCUGUACGCUAAUAAUACACCCAUAGGCACGGCUGCGAAAUGCUGCGGCCUCCGUGCUAGCAGCGACGGCGCCGAGGGCGAGGCAGUGGAGCUGGGGCUGGACAUGCUUCGAAGGCAACUGGAGCAACCAAGGCACGGGAAAACAAGUGUGGGCGUUGCCACGGACUCGCUCUCCUUGCUCAUGGCGCUCGGCGCGGGCCCUACAAGAGUGACAGAUGGCAUGCUGCGAUGCAUUGGGGCACAGGUGCCGGCGCUACUGUAGCCCGUCGCGUGCGUCUCUCACUUGAGUUUGUCUUUGGCCGCUGUGAGUUGGAGCGCAAGGCCGAAUCUGGCAGGCUUGUGUGAAUUGGCAGUGGCAGAGGCGCCGGCGCCAGCUGCAUGGAUUACUAACGGGCCUGGUGGUCACUGGCCGCAGACGCCAGGUCCAACAUCCCCCGAAACCGCGCACCACGCGAUGUGGCCCGCGACGGCAGGCCACCCUCCUCGCCCGGCUGCGCACAUCCACCUGUCCGCACUUUGGAUUCCUGCAGCGACAAGAUGGCGCGCAGACGGUGUGCCGCCCACCAACUCUUCUAGCGCUGUGGUGCCCCCAACCCCGUCAGCGCCUCGAUCCCCACCCGCUUUCUGCGGUGAGGGCGGCCGAUCCGGCACUGUGCCGGGCAUGCGACGCGAGACUCGCGGGUUGCUCGAGGCGCAAGGCGCACCUCGUUCCACGCUACGAUGCUGCGCGCACCGGUGUGAUGACGCACAUGCUAGUUGCGCCGCAUGGCCUUUCCGCGCCGUGUGUGUGUGUGUGUGUGUGUGUGUGUGUGUGUGUCUGUGGCUGCCCCCCUGUGCGCAGAUACAUGCUUGUCUGUUGGCCCCUGCUGCCACAGACCCAUGGCAGCGUCCCCCCGUCGCGGCGCAUGUGGGCCAACCCAUUCCGACUCGCCGCCACGACAUCGACGGAGAUGGAGGAGGAUGCCCGCCACCCGGACAGCUGCGUCGUGCCCUGAGGCAGGCCACAGGAUCUCGAAAAGGCGAGAGCGCACGGUGCGCAGGCGCUGCCAUGCACAGCUGGCAUGGGUGUGCCGCAUCCAUGCAAGGCGUGCGGUUGUCCGAUGCGCAAGAGUGAUGGGCGAAAAAGGGCGCGAAGGGCACCAUACGAAUCGACGCCAGGGCGCAUGUGUGCGCAGAGCAUGCGGCGUCUCCUGCGUCCGACGCGGUGGGCUGAUAUGAGGGCACGGGUGCCGGAAGCAUGGCAUACGGCCGGGUUGCAGAGGCUCUGAAGGGCUCUCACCGGAGGCUGGCCGACUUGUUCCUCGAGCUCAUUCGGCACGCGCCUGGCCCACCACCACCACCACCUCUUCUACCCCGCAGGGCGGCUCGUUCUCGGCGACCAGGAGAUGUCGCCGCCGUGCGGCCAGAGGGUUGAGGCGCUGUGGUUGCGGAGGCGUGUAUACACUGUUGCGGACCUAUUUGCGAUGGACUGGGACUUCG